UACGUAGGGGGCGAGCGUUGUCCGGAUUCAUUGGGCGUAAAGAGCUCGUAGGCGGUUUGGCAAGUCGGGUGUGAAAACUCCAGGCUCAACCUGGAGAUGCCAUCUGAUACUGCCAUGACUUGAGUCUGGUAGGGGAGCACGGAAUUCCUGGUGUAGCGGUGAAAUGCGCAGAUAUCAGGAGGAACACCGGUGGCGAAGGCGGGUCUCUGGGCCGUAACUGACGCUGAGGAGCGAAAGCAUGGGGAGCGAACAGG
rnacentral:rRNA from 1 species